GAUGAACGCUGGCGGCGUGCCUAACACAUGCAAGUCGAACGGAACUUCUUCGACAGAAUUCUUCGGAAGGAAGUUGAUUAAGUUUAGUGGCGGACGGGUGAGUAACGCGUGAGUAACCUGCCUUUGAGAGGGGAAUAACUUCCCGAAAGGGAUGCUAAUACCGCAUGAUGCAUAGAAGUCGCAUGGCUUUUAUGCCAAAGAUUUAUCGCUCAAAGAUGGACUCGCGUCCGAUUAGCCAGUUGGCGGGGUAACGGCCCACCAAAGCGACGAUCGGUAGCCGGACUGAGAGGUUGAACGGCCACAUUGGGACUGAGACACGGCCCAGACUCCUACGGGAGGCAGCAGCGGGGGAUAUUGCGCAAUGGGGGAAACCCUGACGCAGCAACGCCGCGUGAAGGAUGAAGGUUUUCGGAUUGUAAAACUUCUUUUAAUUUAGGACGAAGAAUGACGGUACUAAAUGAAUAAGCUCCGGCUAACUACGUG
rnacentral:rRNA from 1 species